AUUUGCCACCAGGCGCCAGGACACAGUAGCAACUCUGCUAGGAGUGGUGGGCCCUCCUGCAGGCUAGGAGCUGCUUAUCAGGGGAAACAGGUCCCACACGGUGGGCAGCAUCCAGAACCUUCCAGAUGAGGUUGUGGAGGGGGGGUACCAGUAGUUACGGUGGCCUUCCCUCCCUCCAGAGUAGAGCAGCCCAGGCCCCGGUGGGCCACGGAAGAACAAACACCGGACAGAAGCUGGACGCUGAGGCUGCAGUCGCCAAGAGCCCCACAGAGCAGUGACUUCCCAUGGUGAUGAGAGGGCUCGUGCAGAGCAGGGGCUCAGGCUGGCCCCAGGAGCGUGGACAGCGUGGGCACCACUGACCGGGCACCUGCAGACCUGGGACCGCAGCAAGACCACACAGAGGCCCAGAAGAAGCUGGCUCCUCGUCAUGCAGAGACGCCAAGGCCCAAUGGGUCCCUGUCUCCCGGGGGAAUCUCUCUACCCAUGCCGCGGAGCUGGGCACAGGACCCCGGCCUCUGGAAAGCCUUGCACAGCCUGCCCACCCACACGGAGCGGGUCCCCAGGACCCCGGGCACCCCCGAGGCCCGCGGGCCAAGGAGGCUGGAACACCAGGCAUCCCGCCCCAGCCCUGUCUGUGUCACUUAACAGCAGUGACACUUAACAAGGACCCAGGCCCUCAGAACGCCAAUUUCAAAGUGAGAGUGGCUGGACCUGGGCUCCGCGUCCCAGGUCUGCUGUGCCCCCACCAGCACGUGACCCUGACAUUUACAAGCUGCCGCUGGCAUCCUCAGAGAUCCUGCCUUAAGUUCAGGGCCAGGGGUCCGUGGUCCCCUGUUGCUGGGGGGCGGGGGGGUGUCACAGUUCUGACGGUGACUUGGGGUCACUCACGUUCACCUCACACGCGAGGGCCACCUUCCCUGCCCGGCCGCCCCUCGAGCCGUUCCAACUCAGUCUAGAUCCUUCCGGGCCCUAGGCCUCAGCCCUUCCUGGUGCGGGCUGUGCUGUGUCCCCUGGGAAUUCUUAUGCGGAAGCUCCACCCCCAAGAGCGCAGGAUGCGACCGUCCCUGGAGACUAAAGAGGUAAUGACGGCGACGGGAGAAGAUCGGGUGCUUCAGACUCCAGCAGAAUGUCUCCCUACAAAAAGAGCUGAUGGGGGGGGCACGGGGGCACCGAGGGAAGGUCCCUGGAGGACAAGGAUGGGGGACAAGCCUGGUGAGGCCUCGGGAGGCCCCGUCCCGAGCGGGGAGGAAACGCACGCUUGCUGUUUGAGCGGCCCUGGGUGUGGUGCUUUGUCACAGCCACCCCGUGCAGACGAGUACACCCCCAAGUACCACCACGUACUUGGGGGACGCUCCCUGUGCCCUGGUCGGUCCUGUCUCAACCCCCAGCCGGGCGAUCCCUGGAGCCGGCACAACCCUGAUGCCCUGUUCUGUGAGUUCUGUUGGUUGGGGGAUUGGCUGGGGGAGGGGGUGUCUGGCUGCCCAGGCAGAUGUACAGUGGGGACUCCCCUGUCAGGCUGGGCCCCUCCCAUGUGCCCGCCCAGCAUGGCAGUUUUCCUGCUGGAUCAGCCAAGGCUCAGGGCCCUUCCCCUGCCAGGUCACAGAGAACCCAGGCCCAUCUGACCCCAGGCCCCAGUGGACGCUCAACCCUGUGUCCCUUGUCCCAGGUUCUCUAGGAACCAUCCCCAGACACGCGGCUUGGCUGCUGCUGGCCCUGAUGGUCCGGCUUCCUGCCAGCCAUGGGUGGGGGCCCCCCACCCGCGGCCCCCCAGCAGCAGCCUGGGGCCUCCCUCCCCAGGUGCCCAUGCUGUCACCUCCACAUAAAUCCCUGCAGCUUGCGUCUCACACACACAAAGGCAGGUUCCCAGUGCUGCUGGAGGCAGGAGUGGCCGGCCACCAACUCUGCAGGUAUAGGCAUCCAGACACCAACUCUGCAGGUAUAGGCCCCCAGACCCAACAGAGACCCAACCUGGGCAGAGGGCGCACAGCUGGGCCCUUGGAGCUUCCAGAAAAGCCCCCAGCACUGGCAGGCAGGGGCCAGGGCCAGGCGUUUCAAAACACCAGCAAAAGUGCUCAGCCCCGAACCCCUAGACAAGAAGGAGAAGACAGUGAGGGAUGUAGGCACCAUCGGAAGCUAAUUACAACGUCGGGGGGCACCCCCUGCCCCCCGCACAAACAUGUCUAGCAACCUGGCACUGGCAUUUAAUGGGCUGCAAUUCUUUAAGCUGAGAGCCCAGCUGAGCCAUUACGGCGGCCAAUUUGCAGGGAAGUAGAAAGCACCGCACGGGAGCCGGGAAUGGGGUCACCUCGUGACCAGAGGGGCAGCGGCCCAGGCACAGGGGCAUGGGCCCCUGGACAGCCACCAGGAUGCCCCUGAAACAGCAAGCCCGAGGCCAGGGCAGUCGGAGGACCACACUAGAGAUGCAACCUCCUGAAUCCAGGCCCGGUACGCCUUCACCCGCAACGCCUAUCCACCUUCCUGCCUUGGGAAAACUCCUAUCCACCCCUCAAAACCCAGGCUGAAGGCUCCCCCACCACACAGUUGUUUACCGAACGCCUGCUGUGGGCAGGGACUGCUCUAUGUCCUUGGACCGAGUGAACAGACAGGCAGCCUGCAGGGAGCCAGCAGAGGACAGCGAACAAGGCACGUGUAGAGCAGUCACAUGUGCCAGCGAGGAUGUCAAAGCAGCGAGGGGGGCUCCAGGCCUGACCAAGGGCAGGGGGGGUGUCUCUUGGCCACCAGGGCACCCCAGCAUGAGCCCGGGGCUGUGACACCAAGUCAGUGAGGCAACCCCUGGAGACCCGCUGCUCACCCACCCCCACACCUGGGGUGUCCUGGGUGGGCGCACACCUGCUGGGUGUGGGGCCCUCCCGGGAUCACACCCUGCUCACCCCCCACAGAAGGGCGGUCCCUGGAGAGACCCUUGCACACAGCAGGGCUUCACUCCCAGUGGACUCACACCCUCAGCGGGACCUCAGAUUAUGUGGGGCUUGGACUUAGGCCCGGACACAGAGUAGGGCCGCACUCAGGGGGGGCUGUGGGCCAAGACCGUGCGCAUGGUGGGAUCAUGUCCUCUGUCACGAAGGAAGGAUGGCCUCGCCAGGACCUGCAGGUGUGCACAGGCAAACGCACAGGCCAAGCGCACAGUAGGUCCUGGUCCCCUGUGGCCCUGUCCCCCCCUAAGCUGGCGGAGCCCCCGGAGCAGGGCCUUGGCCGUGCGGCGUGUGGAUUCGCCCAUUCUGGCUCCCCUCCAGCCACCUGCAUCUGCAUCGAUCUCUGAAUAACUCGAUCCAUUAUGCUGGAAGAGAAUUCUUGGAAACCGGCAGGAAAAGGAAGCCUUCUGUGAAUCGUCUGAGUCAUUUUUUUUAAACUAACAAUGGGAUGCCUCUCCCUCCCCAGCGCGGUGGGCUGUCUACGCUUGCUGCAGCCGCUGCCACCAGGGGUCCAGAAAGGUGCUGGUGCCCCCACUGUGGGAGGGGGCCACAGGUGCCGUGGGGCAGGGCCCACAGGCCGGGCUGGACCCCCACGGCCUGGCCGGGGCAUGGUCUUCCCUGCCAGGGCUCACCGGCCCGUCCGCUUUGCCACAUCACAGCUUCCCGUUCAAGCCCUGCCUGGCCAGGUACUCGGGCCCUCGAGGGGGGAGCGGGCUGCUGACACCCCCUCCAGGAGGGAGACAGUGGGGCUCCCGCAGGCCAGGGCGACGCGCAGUCUGACUGCCACGGCAGGGGGAGCAAACGGAUUGGAGCAGGUGGCCAGGGCUUGGGAGCGCUGGACGUCCCCUCGCUUGGAAAGUGGGGACCCCAAGGGCACCCCCCAAGAGAAGACCUUCCAGAAGGAGCCUGAAGAACUCUCCCUGCGGUGGGCGCUGCUGCCUCAGGCUGGCAGUCCUUGGCGGAGUGGGAUCCACAGGCACGAAGAGCAGAAGGGGUCCUGCUGUUUCUGCUUCUUGCAUCAGGCCAGGCAGUCGCCAGACUUGCAAAACCCUGAAACGCCCCUUGUCUGGCUAGAUUUUUAUGUCUUGCAAGACAGAGGCAUUUUUAAUAAAAGAAAUGCUACGUUCACA